rnacentral:rRNA from 1 species
ACCGCUGAAAGCAUCUAAGCGGGAAGCCCCCCUCAAGAUUAGGUUUCUCUGGACCUAUAAGGUCCCUUAAGGGUCGUCGUAGACUACGACGUUGAUAGGCGGGGUGUGUAAGUGCAGUAAUGCAUUAAGCUAACCCGUACUAAUUGCCCGUGAGGCUUGAUCAU